rnacentral:rRNA from 1 species
UACGAGGGGGGCGAGCGUUGUUCGGAAUUAUUGGGCGUAAAGGGUGCGUAGGCGGUUUGGUAAGUCUUAUGUGAAAUCUAUGGGCUCAACUCAUAGUCUGCAUGAGAAACUGCCGGGCUUGAGUAUGGGAGAGGUGAGUGGAAUUCCUGGUGUAGCGGUGAAAUGCGCAGAUAUCAGGAGGAACACCAAUGGCGAAGGCAGCUCGCUGGGACGGUACUGACGCUGAGACGCGAAAGCGUGGGGAGCAAACAGG